GUCCACGCCAUAAACGUUGGGCGCUAGGUGUCGGGGACCUUCCACGUCUUCGGUGCCGCAGCUAACGCAUUAAGCGCCCCGCCUGGGGAGUACGGCCGCAAGGCUAAAACUCAAAGGAAUUGACGGGGGCCCGCACAAGCGGCGGAGCAUGUGGCUUAAUUCGACGCAACGCGAAGAACCUUACCUGGGUUUGACAUGCAGGGAAAUCCCAUAGAGAUAUGGGGUCCGCAAGGGUCCUGCACAGGUGGUGCAUGGCUGUCGU
rnacentral:rRNA from 1 species